GUCGAGAAUCUUGGGCAAUGCGCGAAAGCGUGACCCAGCAAUGCCGCGUGCAUGAUGAAGGCCUUCGGGUUGUAAAAUGCUGUCACCCGGGACGAAAAAAAUGACGGUACCGGGGGAGGAAGCCACGGCUAACUACGUGCCAGCAGCCGCGGUAAUACGUAGGUGGCGAGCGUUGUUCGGAUUUAUUGGGCGUAAAGGGUCUGUAGGAGGUUUCUUAAAUUCGAGGUGAAAUCCCGGAGCUCAACUUCGGAACUGCCUUGGAGACUGGGAGACUAGAGUACUGGGGAGGUAAGCGGAAUACCAAGUGUAGCGGUGGAAUGCGUAGAUAUUUGGUAGAACACCAAGAGCGAAGGCAGCUUGCUGGACAGAAACUGACUCUGAGAGGCGAAAGCGUGGGGAGCAAACAGGAUUAGAAACCCCAGUAGUCC
rnacentral:rRNA from 1 species